rnacentral:rRNA from 1 species
AACGAACGCUGGCGGCGUGGAUAAGACAUGCAAGUCGAACGGGAUUUUUUCCUGUAGCAAUACAGGAAAAAGUCUAGUGGCGAACGGGUGCGUAACACGUGAGCAACCUGCCGUGAAGUGGGGGAUAGCUCGCCGAAAGGCGAAUUAAUACCGCAUGUGGCCAAGGAAGACAUCUUCCUGACGCCAAAGCCGGGGCAACCUGGCGCUUCUCGAGGGGCUCGCGGCCUAUCAGCUUGUUGGUGAGGUAACGGCUCACCAAGGCUAUGACGGGUAGCUGGUCUGAGAGGACGACCAGCCACACUGGAACUGAGACACGGUCCAGACACCUACGGGUGGCAGCAGUCGAGAAUUUUUCACAAUGGGGGAAACCCUGAUGGAGCGACGCCGCGUGGAGGAUGAAGGUUUUCGGAUUGUAAACCCCUGUCAUUAGAGAACAAGGCGCACGGUUUAACUGGCCGUGCGUUGAUAGUAUCUGAAGAGGAAGAGACGGCUAACUCUGUGCCAGCAGCCGCAGUAA